AUGUUCGUAAUUAAACGUGUUCUAAAUAUCUUCCAUGAACUCUCAGACUGUCAUAAAUGGCUUCACCCAAAAGCAGCAGCGGUCAAAAUUCAAAUGGUAUCCAGAAGAUUUUGGGAGAUCGACCGCCUCCUCUGGUGCUUCCUGGACAUGCCGGCAGACCUCGACAGGCCGGCAGACCUCGACAUGCCGGAUGAUGGGGGCAGGGACGGACAUGACCAAUCUGGGAUAAUUAUUCAUAUUUGUUUAGGUGGGCAUCUGAAUUUUGCUGAAGUUCACCGGUGCCACCGAGAGAUCUACGAAGGAAAGCAUCCUUUGUCGGCUUACAGAAGGUUUAGAUAA
rnacentral:rRNA from 1 species